GAUGAACGCUAGGCGGGAGGCUUAACACAUGCAAGUCGAGGGGCAGCAUAGGGUAGCAAUACUCUGAUGGCGACCGGCAAACGGGUGAGUAACGCGUAUGCAACCUACCCUGUACAGGGGGAUAACCCGGAGAAAUUCGGACUAAUAUCCCGUAAUAAUAUCCGGAGGCAUCUUUGGAUAUUUAAAGUUUCGACGGUACGGGAUGGGCAUGCGUAACAUUAGCUGGUUGGUAAGGUAACGGCUUACCAAGGCUAUGAUGUUUAGGGGUCCUGAGAGGGUGGUCCCCCACACUGGUACUGAGACACGGACCAGACUCCUACGGGAGGCAGCAGUGAGGAAUAUUGGUCAAUGGGCGCAAGCCUGAACCAGCCAUCCCGCGUGCAGGAAGACGGCCCUAUGGGUUGUAAACUGCUUUUCCAGGGAGAGAAACUUACGCACGUGUUGCGUGACUGACGGUACCCUGGGAAUAAGCAUCGGCUAACUCCGUG
rnacentral:rRNA from 1 species